rnacentral:rRNA from 1 species
UACGAGGGGGGCGAGCGUUGUUCGGAAUUAUUGGGCGUAAAGGGUGCGUAGGCGGUUUGGUAAGUCUUGUGUGAAAUCUUCGGGCUCAACUCGAAGUCUGCACGAGAAACUGCCGGGCUUGAGUAUGGGAGAGGUGAGUGGAAUUCCCGGUGUAGCGGUGAAAUGCGUAGAUAUUGGGAGGAACACCAGUGGCGAAGGCGGCUCACUGGACCGGAACUGACGCUGAGGCGCGAAAGCGUGGGGAGCAAACGGG